GCGAAAGUGGCUCAAUGGCAGAGCAUCACCUUCCCAAGGUGGACGUUGCGGGUUCGAGUCCCGUCUUUCGCU
rnacentral:tRNA from 1 species